rnacentral:rRNA from 1 species
UACGGGGGGGGCAAGCGUUGUUCGGAAUUACUGGGCGUAAAGGGCUCGUAGGCGGCCAACUAAGUCAGACGUGAAAUCCCUCGGCUUAACCGGGGAACUGCGUCUGAUACUGGAUGGCUUGAAUCCGGGAGAGGGAUGCGGAAUUCCGGGUGUAGCGGUGAAAUGCGUAGAUAUCCGGAGGAACACCAGUGGCGAAGGCGGCUCACUGGCCCGGUACUGACGCUGAGAUACGAAAGCGUGGGGAGCAAACAGG